UCAUACCUUUGAUCCCAGCACUUGGGAUGACACACCUUUAAUUCCAGCACUACAGAGGAAUAUAAGGCCGGAGCUCAGUGCAGUCUUGGUGGAGAGCACUGCAGUCUGUUCCUCUUUGGUCUUAGCCUUGGUAGAGAUGCUAGAGCUCCACCCUGAAGCCCUGGAAUCAGAAGCCUGUGACGAAAGUGUGGCCAUCCAUGCGUUUAACAAGCUUCCUGUUGCUUCUGACGUGUCCCAGCUUGUGAAUGUUGAGAAGUUCCGCCUACUCUUCAGAAAGCACCAUCCUCAAUGCAUUCCAGGCAGACAUUCCCACCUUGAAUUUCAGCUCCCUGAAAGGAAGAAAGCACAAAUUAUAAAACCCUAAGUUCAAGGAAUUUCAUAUUUCAGUGCCUUAUGUUCUGCUUUCAGUUGCUUCCUACAAGAACUGUGCAAGGAAACUAUUUGCCUCCCCACUUCAAAGGAAACUGAGGUCAGAGUUAGUCACUUGUCCAGGAGGAAUGGCUGGUGCUGGAAAUCCAACCAGGAGCUUCCGGUCUCUGACGCUGUCCCUUGACACAGAGCUGCCUUCCCACACUGCCAUAACUAAUGCCUCUCUUAUGUGUGUCCGGUUUCCUACUGUCCUCAACUGUCACAGCAUGCUGAUGCUGGUCUUGGUGGGGUUUCAACAGGCCUAGGGAAAAUGGACAAAGCUUUCCAGCACCGGAGAAGGAACAACCCCAAACUGAGCCCCGAACGCUGUAGGAUCCAACAGGACUGAGGAGGCCAGGAUGACAAUAAGACUUGGGGGCUGCUGAGAUGGCUCAUGGCUUAGAGCUGCUUGCUGCCGAGCCUGAAGACCCGAAGCAAAGAGGAAGGGAGGAAAGAAUUUACUUCUAGAACGUGUCCUCUAACCUCUACAUGGGUGUUAUGACACACACACAUACACACACGCAUGCACACACACUAAAAUAAGUAUUAAAGAAAAGAUUUUGGAGAACUGGA